rnacentral:rRNA from 1 species
GAUGAACGCUGGCGGCGUGCCUAAUACAUGCAAGUCGAGCGAAUGGAUUAAGAGCUUGCUCUUAUGAAGUUAGCGGCGGACGGGUGUGUAACACGUGGGUAACCUGCCCAUAAGACUGGGAUAACUCCGGGAAACCGGGGCUAAUACCGGAUAACAUUUUGAACCGCAUGGUUCGAAAUUGAAAGGCGGCUUCGGCUGUCACUUAUGGAUGGGCCCGCGUCGCAUUAGCUAGUUGGUGAGGUAACGGCUCACCAAGGCAACGAUGCGUAGCCGACCGGGGAGGGUGAUCGGCCACACUGGGACUGAGACACGGCCCAGACUCCUACGGGAGGCAGCAGUAGGGAAUCUUCCGCAAUGGACGAAAGUCUGACGGAGCAACGCCGCGUGAGUGAUGAAGGCUUUCGGGUCGUAAAACUCUGUUGUUAGGGAAGAACAAGUGCUAGUUGAAUAAGCUGACACCUUGACGGUACCUAACCAGAAAGCCACGGCUAACUACGUGCCAGCCGCCGCAGUAA